rnacentral:rRNA from 1 species
UAGCUGGGUAGCUAUGUGUGGACGGGAUAAGUGCUGAAAGCAUCUAAGCAUGAAGCCCCCCUCAAGAUGAGAUUUCCCAACUUCGGUUAUAAGAUCCCUCAAAGAUGAUGAGGUUAAUAGGUUCGAGAUGGAAGCAUGGUGACAUGUGGAGCUGACGAAUACUAAUCGAUCGAAGACUUAAUCAA